AUGGUCACUGGCCUUGAGAAACGGAAUCAAAAUACAGGGUAUUUAUUACACUGUAUAGAUGUGCUCAAAUUGUAUCAACCCCUUGGCUUCACAGGUUCAAGGACUCUGCUAGUUCACAGUAGCCACAGGUACAAACAGCUGCCCCACAGGCUGAGCAGGAGCCUCAGCAGGACCUUCAAGACAUCCACUCUGCCUCAAAAUGUGCUGCCUCACACAUACAGAAGGCUGUGGAGCAGAAGCCAGGUUGGAGUAAAAUGGAGAGCUCAGCUAUGCAAUCAUUACCUGACCUGGAAGUGCUCAGGAUCUGGGGAGGACAAGGAAUUUUGGUUAAGCUGUCAGAGACAUCUCCCUGCCAAGGUGCAAUCUACAGAGACACACUCUGAUGGAAUACUGGGUUCCCUGGCAUCUAAUAAGGUAUGAAUUCCAGAUGAAGCUUUCCUAAAGUUGUAUCUCCCUCCUUUCUCACCUGCUUUCUUCAAAUGUACUGGAAACUUGCAUCUUUGAAACAUCUUUUUUUCUUUCUCUCUUUUUUUUUUUUUUUUAACUUUUUGAAAUGCAACAGAGUCCUUGGGUGUGACUUGUUUUCAUAGGUCAUUGGGGAAAAAUGAAAUAUGUACACAAAAAGCUUUAUCACACACUCUGUAUUCAUUCUUUGGAGGAAGUGUAAAGUGACAUGGGCUUUCCUGUCACACAUGUGAGCAUAGGAGUUAGAUCAUAGGGCCAGGAUGUCAAUGUAUUUAAACGCUCACUGACUUCACAGUAGAUGUGGUGUUUUAUGCAAGACAUAGACUUCGACCCCUGUAUGUACAAAGUGCAAACUCAUUUAACUCAGUUGAUCUGAGGAACACUCCUGAUUAAAAAGACUUUAUUAGGGAUAGCUGUUCAUUAUGCAUACCCACAGCUUCCCAAGGAAACUCAUUCUCAGCAUCCUGCUGUGACAGAGAUUAGUCAUUAUGCAGUAAAGCUGUACUGCUGGGACCACAUUUGCA
rnacentral:lncRNA from 1 species